rnacentral:rRNA from 1 species
UACGUAGGUGGCGAGCGUUGUCCGGAUUUAUUGGGCGUAAAGCGCGCGCAGGCGGUCGCGUAAGUCUGCUGUGAAAUCUCCCUGGCUCAACCGGGAGGUGGCGGCGGAGACUGCGGGACUGGAGGGACCUAGAGGCCGGUGGAAUUCCCGGUGUAGUGGUGAAAUGCGUAGAGAUCGGGAGGAACACCGGUGGCGAAGGCGGCAUCCUGGACCGGCAUUGACGCUGAGGCGCGAAAGCCAGGGGAGCAAACGGG